AGGAAUAUUGGUCAAUGGGCGCAGGCCUGAACCAGCCAAGUAGCGUGAAGGAUGAAGGUCCUAUGGGUUGUAAACUUCUUUUAUAAAGGAAUAAAGUCGGGUAUGUAUACCCGUUUGCAUGUACUUUAUGAAUAAGGAUCGGCUAACUCCGUGCCAGCAGCCGCGGUAAUACGGAGGAUCCGAGCGUUAUCCGGAUUUAUUGGGUUUAAAGGGAGCGUAGAUGGAUGUUUAAGUCAGUUGUGAAAGUUUGCGGCUCAACCGUAAAAUUGCAGUUGAUACUGGAUAUCUUGAGUGCAGUUGAGGCAGGCGGAAUUCGUGGUGUAGCGGUGAAAUGCUUAGAUAUCACGAAGAACUCCGAUUGCGAAGGCAGCCUGCUAAGCUGCAACUGACAUUGAGGCUCGAAAGUGUGGGUAUCAAACAGGAUUAGAUACCCUGGUAGUCCACACAGUAAACGAUGAAUACUCGCUGUUUGCGAUAUACAGUAAGCGGCCAAGCGAAAGCGUUAAGUAUUCCACCUGGGGAGUACGCCGGCAACGGUGAAACUCAAAGGAAUUGACGGGGGCCCGCACAAGCGGAGGAACAUGUGGUUUAAUUCGAUGAUACGCGAGGAACCUUACCCGGGCUUGAAUUGCAGACGAAUUGCUUGGAAACAGGCAAGCCGCAAGGCGUCUGUGAAGGUGCUGCAUGGUUGUCGUCAGCUCGUGCCGUGAGGUGUCGGCUUAAGUGCCAUAACGAGCGCAACCCUCGUGUCCAGUUACUAGCAGGUUAUGCUGAGGACUCUGGACAGACUGCCAUCGUAAGAUGUGAGGAAGGUGGGGAUGACGUCAAAUCAGCACGGCCCUUACGUCCGGGGCUACACACGUGUUACAAUGGGGGGUACAGCAGGCAGCUACCGGGCGACCGGAUGCCAAUCCCGAAAGCCUCUCUCAGUUCGGACUGGAGUCUGCAACCCGACUCCACGAAGCUGGAUUCGCUAGUAAUCGCGCAUCAGCCACGGCGCGGUGAAUACGUUCCCG
rnacentral:rRNA from 1 species